rnacentral:rRNA from 1 species
CAGUCGCCGCGGUAAUACAGAGGGUGCGAGCGUUAAUCGGAUUUACUGGGCGUAAAGCGUGCGUAGGCGGCUUUUAAGUCGGAUGUGAAAUCCCUGAGCUUAACUUAGGAAUUGCAUUCGAUACUGGGAAGCUAGAGUAUGGGAGAGGAUGGUAGAAUUCCAGGUGUAGCGGUGAAAUGCGUAGAGAUCUGGAGGAAUACCGAUGGCGAAGGCAGCCAUCUGGCCUAAUACUGACGCUGAGGUACGAAAGCAUGGGGAGCAAACAGGAUUAGAUACCCCGGUAGUCCCUGUCUCUUAUACA